ACAUGCAAGUCGAGCGGACAGAAGGGAGCUUGCUCCCGGAUGUUAGCGGCGGACGGGUGAGUAACACGUGGGUAACCUGCCUGUAAGACUGGGAUAACUCCGGGAAACCGGAGCUAAUACCGGAUAGUUCCUUGAACCGCAUGGUUCAAGGAUGAAAGACGGUUUCGGCUGUCACUUACAGAUGGACCCGCGGCGCAUUAGCUAGUUGGUGAGGUAACGGCUCACCAAGGCGACGAUGCGUAGCCGACCUGAGAGGGUGAUCGGCCACACUGGGACUGAGACACGGCCCAGACUCCUACGGGAGGCAGCAGUAGGGAAUCUUCCGCAAUGGACGAAAGUCUGACGGAGCAACGCCGCGUGAGUGAUGAAGGUUUUCGGAUCGUAAAGCUCUGUUGUUAGGGAAGAACAAGUGCAAGAGUAACUGCUUGCACCUUGACGGUACCUAACCAGAAAGCCACGGCUAACUACGUGCCAGCAGCCGCGGUAAUACGUAGGUGGCAAGCGUUGUCCGGAAUUAUUGGGCGUAAAGGGCUCGCAGGCGGUUUCUUAAGUCUGAUGUGAAAGCCCCCGGCUCAACCGGGGAGGGUCAUUGGAAACUGGGAAACUUGAGUGCAGAAGAGGAGAGUGGAAUUCCACGUGUAGCGGUGAAAUGCGUA
rnacentral:rRNA from 1 species